rnacentral:rRNA from 1 species
AUUGAACGCUGGCGGCGUGCUUAACACAUGCAAGUCGAUCGGUAACGCGGGGGCAACCCUGGCGACGAGAGGCGGACGGGUGAGGAACGCUUGGGAAUCUACCUAUCAGCGGGGGACAACACGGGGAAACUCGUGCUAAUACCGCAUACGCUCUACGGAGGAAAGCCGGGGACCGCAAGGCCUGGCACUGAUAGAUGAGCCCAAGCCGGAUUAGCUAGUUGGCGGGGUAACGGCCCACCAAGGCGACGAUCCGUAGCUGGUCUGAGAGGACGAUCAGCCACACUGGGAAUGAGACACGGCCCAGACUCCUACGGGAGGCAGCAGUGGGGAAUGUUGGACAAUGGGGGAAACCCUGAUCCAGCGACGCCGCGUGGGUGAAGAAGGCCUGCGGGUUGUAAAGCCCUUUCGGUAGGGACGAAAGCUCUCGACCUAACACGUCGGGAGGUUGACUUAACCUACAAAAGAAGCACCGGCUAACUCUGUGCCAGCCGCCGCGGUAAAAC